GACGAACGCUGGCGGCGUGCUUAACACAUGCAAGUCGAACGGUGAACGAGGGAGCUUGCUCCCUCCGGAUCAGUGGCGAACGGGUGAGUAACACGUGAGCAAUCUGCCCCGAACUCUGGGAUAAGCGUUGGAAACGACGUCUAAUACCGGAUACGACGCGGGAGGGCAUCCUCUCCGCGUGGAAAGAACUUCGGUUCGGGAGGAGCGCGCGGCCUAUCAGCUUGUUGGUGAGGUAACGGCUCACCAAGGCGACGACGGGUAGCCGGCCUGAGAGGGUGACCGGCCACACUGGGACUGAGACACGGCCCAGACUCCUACGGGAGGCAGCAGUGGGGAAUAUUGCACAAUGGGCGCAAGCCUGAUGCAGCAACGCCGCGUGAGGGACGACGGCCUUCGGGUUGUAAACCUCUUUUAGCAGGGAAGAAGCGAAAGUGACGGUACCUGCAGAAAAAGCACCGGCUAACUACGUG
rnacentral:rRNA from 1 species